CCACCUCAGCAUGGCUGACGUCAGGAUACGACUGGCGCACUCUUUGCUGGGGGGCGACCGCAGCCGUCGCAUCAACCAGACGCUCGCCAGCACCGGCACCGCUGUGGUCAAGACCAAGGAGGCCGUGGGGGGGGCGCUGACGUCAGCGCGGGGGGCGCUGAGCAGCCUGUGGUCCUCUAUGACGACCGCCCCUGCCCCCAACGGCGCCCACGAUGACUC